rnacentral:tRNA from 1 species
AAUGGAGUGCCUGAAAAAAGGAUAAUUUUGAUAGAAUUAAUUAUGUGAGUCGGCCCCACCUCCAUUU